rnacentral:rRNA from 1 species
UGGGGAAUUUUGGACAAUGGGCGAAAGCCUGAUCCAGCAAUGCCGCGUGUGUGAAGAAGGCCUUCGGGUUGUAAAGCACUUUUGUCCGGAAAGAAAUCCUUGGCUCUAAUACAGUCGGGGGAUGACGGUACCGGAAGAAUAAGCACCGGCUAACUACGUGCCAGCAGCCGCGGUAAUACGUAGGGUGCAAGCGUUAAUCGGAAUUACUGGGCGUAAAGCGUGCGCAGGCGGUUUGCUAAGACCGAUGUGAAAUCCCCGGGCUCAACCUGGGAACUGCAUUGGUGACUGGCAGGCUAGAGUAUGGCAGAGGGGGGUAGAAUUCCACGUGUAGCAGUGAAAUGCGUAGAGAUGUGGAGGAAUACCGAUGGUGAAGGCAGCCCCCUGGGCCAAUACUGACGCUCAUGCACGAAAACGUGGGGAGCAAAACAGGAUUAGAUACCCUGGUAGUCCACGCCCUAAACGAUGUCAACUAGUUGUUGGGGAUUCAUUUCCUUAGUAACGUAGCUAACGCGUGAAGUUGACCGCCUGGGGAGUACGGUCGCAAGAUUAAAACUCAAAUGAAUUGACGGGGUCAUAGCUGUUUCCU